GACGAACGCUGGCGGCGUGCCUAAUACAUGCAAGUCGUGCGGACCUUUUAAAAGCUUGCUUUUAAAAGGUUAGCGGCGGACGGGUGAGUAACACGUGGGCAACCUGCCUGUAAGACUGGGAUAACGCCGGGAAACCGGGGCUAAUACCAGAUAGUUUUUUCCUCCGCAUGGAGGAAAAAGGAAAGGCGGCUUCGGCUGCCACUUACAGAUGGGCCCGCGGCGCAUUAGCUAGUUGGCGGGGUAACGGCCCACCAAGGCAACGAUGCGUAGCCGACCUGAGAGGGUGAUCGGCCACAUUGGGACUGAGACACGGCCCAAACUCCUACGGGAGGCAGCAGUAGGGAAUCUUCCGCAAUGGACGAAAGUCUGACGGAGCAACGCCGCGUGAGUGAAGAAGGCC
rnacentral:rRNA from 2 species